rnacentral:rRNA from 1 species
AUAUCAAUAAGCGGAGGAAAAGAAACUAACAAGGAUUCCCCUAGUAACUGCGAGUGAAGCGGGAAAAGCUCAAAUUUGAAAUCUGGCGGUUCUGAACCGUCCGAGUUGUAAUCUAGAGAAGUGUUACCUGUGCUGGACCGUGUAAAAGUCUUCUGGAAUGGAGCGUCGUAGAGGGUGAGAAUCCCGUCUUUGACUCGGAGUUCGCUGUGUUUGAGCAUAUAUUCUAAGAGUCGAAUAGGUUGGGAUUCCUGUUCAAAGAAGGUGGUAAACUUCAUCUAAAGCUAAAUACCGGCCAGAGACCGAUAGCGCACAAGUA